rnacentral:rRNA from 1 species
UACGGAGGGUGCAAGCGUUAUCCGGAUUCACUGGGUUUAAAGGGUGCGUAGGUGGGUUGGUAAGUCAGUGGUGAAAUCCCCGAGCUUAACUUGGGAACUGCCAUUGAUACUAUCAGUCUUGAAUACCGUGGAGGUCGGCGGAAUAUGUCAUGUAGCGGUGAAAUGCUUAGAUAUGACAUAGAACACCAAUUGCGAAGGCAGCUGACUACGCGAGUAUUGACACUGAGGCACGAAAGCGUGGGGAUUAAACAGG